AACGAACGCUGGCGGCAGGCCUAACACAUGCAAGUCGAGCGAAGCCUUCGGGCUUAGCGGCGGACGGGUGAGUAACGCGUGGGAACGUGCCCUUUGGUACGGAAUAGCCCCGGGAAACUGGGAGUAAUACCGUAUGCGGUCGAGAGACGAAAGAUUUAUCGCCAAAGGAUCGGCCCGCGUUGGAUUAGGUAGUUGGUGGGGUAAUGGCCUACCAAGCCGACAAUCCAUAGCUGGUUUGAGAGGAUGAUCAGCCACACUGGGACUGAGACACGGCCCAGACUCCUACGGGAGGCAGCAGUGGGGAAUCUUAGACAAUGGGGGAAACCCUGAUCUAGCCAUGCCGCGUGAUCGAUGAAGGCCUUAGGGUUGUAAAGAUCUUUCAGUGGGGAAGAUAAUGACUGUACCCACAGAAGAAGCCCCGGCUAACUCCGUGCCAGCAGCCGCCGUAAAAC
rnacentral:rRNA from 1 species